UAUAUAGUACCCUGAACCGGUUCGGUUCUCCUGAACCGAUCCAGGCUUGAACCGAACCGGUUUAAGCCCAAUUCCACAACCCGUGAGGCCCAACGCGCGCCUCUGAACCCAGUUUCUUUUUUUACUAUUCUGCACACCCCAUAAUACUGCUGCACCCCACCUUGUGAUUGAAUCCAUUUUAUUUUAAGUUCUGCAUGCAUUUUAGAAAUAAUUUCAUUAUUCAAUUCUUUAUUUUUAUGUCAUUUAUUUUUGCAGCAAGGAUAUUAGAAUGUAAAUAAUAGGCUCAAUGUAAUUUAUUUAUUGCAGACCUUAGAAUGUAAAUAGGCUUUUAUGUAAUAGCCGUAGGUGCAUGAGUGCGUGCGCGUGUGUAUGCCUCUUAUCUGCUUUGUGGUUUAGGUCAAAGGUCCUCGUGGUGGUCCAACGCCGCCAUGAGGUACCUACGCUUUACUCUUCUGCUCCGUUAGUUUAUAUUCUAGUUCAUUUAUUCAAAAACAACAAAAAACAUGCA
rnacentral:lncRNA from 1 species